UACGGGGGGAGCAAGCGUUGUUCGGAUUUACUGGGCGUAAAGGGCGCGUAGGCGGCCUCUGCAAGUCGACUGUGAAAUCUCCCGGGCUUAACCCGGAAAGGUCAGCCGAUACUGCAGGGCUAGAGUGCAGAAGGGGCAACUGGAAUUCUCGGUGUAGCGGUGAAAUGCGUAGAUAUCGAGAGGAACACCUGCGGCGAAGGCGGGUUGCUGGGCUGACACUGACGCUGAGGCGCGAAAGCUAGGGGAGCGAACAGG
rnacentral:rRNA from 1 species